rnacentral:rRNA from 1 species
GACGAACGCUGGCGGCGUGCUUAACACAUGCAAGUCGAGCGAGAAAGCCCCUUCGGGGGUGAGUACAGCGGCGAACGGGUGAGUAACACGUGGGCAACCUGCCCCGGAGACUGGGAUAACGUCCCGAAAGGGACGCUAAUACCGGAUGAUGCGUGACCUGCCAAGUGGGUCACGUCAAAUGGUAGCCUCGGCCUCUGCUCCGGGAUGGGCCCGCGCCGGAUUAGCUUGUUGGUGAGGUAACGGCUCACCAAGGCGACGAUCCGUAGCUGGUCUGAGAGGACGAUCAGCCACACUGGGACUGAGACACGGCCCAGACUCCUACGGGAGGCGGCAGUGGGGAAUCUUGCGCAAUGGGCGAAAGCCUGACGCAGCAACGCCGCGUGAGCGAAGACGGCCUCGGUUGUAAGACGUCUGUCAGGAGGGACGGAAGCCGACUCGGGUGGAACAGCCCACGAGGGUGACGGUACCGUCCACCACGGAAGCCCCGGCCGUAACCUACGUGCCAGCAGCCGACC